AGAGAGUGAGAAAGAUUUAAUAUAUAUAUAUAUAUAUUUUUAAUUUUUGAAUAUUUUAUUAUUCAAAAAAUAUAUUUUUUAUUUUUUAAUCCAAUUGGAUUAGUGAGUGGGACACGUGUCGAACCACAUCAGUAUUUAACAGAGAAAUUAACAGAAAAACUGACAGAGGUCUAACAUUGACACAAAUUCGUAAGAUGAGGUAUGACAUUGUCAAUUUUAAAAGAUGAGGUAUGAAAGUGUCGUGACACUAAUAGUUGAGGUAGUUUUUUGUACUUUACCCUAAAUAGUUUUACAGGUCUACAACUAGGGUUUUUUGUUUUGAUUCCAUUCAAUACUAAAUUGCUGGAAAUUUUGUUGCAGUCUCACUACCUACCAUUCUCCUAACCAAAAUAUAUUUUUCCCUUAUAGGAGAAGUUGGCUACUUGGGUUAAACCCUUUCAUGUCAUGAUUUUGUUGGUUGAGUUGGGACCAGACCUUUGUCACAAAUAUGGUCUGGUUGCAAUUGGAUCGCAACCAACUAAUAACCAAAACUAACCACCAGCAGGGGGAGCUGGCAGAGGUAAUGGGUUCAGCUAGCUAGCCCAUGUCUUCCUAUUCACCAAACUCACACCACUUAUCUCCUUUUGUGACAUGCAUGUUGCGUACGUAAACAACUCUGGAAUUCAGGCUCCAGGCCCUACCCCAGAGGUUGGAUUAGGACCUACAUCAGGGUGACAUAUCAAGAUAGACGGAAGGUGUUACCUGCUAGUUUGUUGCUCAAUUAACAACUUGGGACAUGCUUAAUAUUGAUAUAAAGAUAUACUUGAUUAGUAGCACUUUAGAAAAACUAACUGAAAUGCUAGAAAUAGAGAAGAGUGUUUUGUAACAUCCAAUAGUGUUGUUCAUUGCCACCAAAGAGCGUCAAUCGCUUAUUACAUGCGCGCGUGAACGACUGUAAACCGUUGAUUGAUGUGAAUCUCAUGAUAAGUCUCAUUCCAAACAAUGUCUAAGAAUCGUCUAAGUGCGUGUCA